GAUGAAGAACGUAGCGAAAUGCGAUAAGUAGUGUGAAUUGCAGAAUUCAGUGAAUCAUCGAAUCUUUGAACGCACAUUGCGCCCCUUGGUAUCCCAUGGGGCAUGCCUGUUCGAGCGUCAUUUGUACCUUCAAGCUUUGCUUGGUGUUGGGUGUUUGUCUCGCCUUUGCGUGUAGACUCGCCUUAAAAUAAUUGGCAGCCGGCGUAUUGAUUUCGGAGCGCAGUACAUCUCGCGCUUUGCACUCAUAACGACAGCGUCCAAAAGUACAUUUUACACUCUUGACCUCGGAUCAGGUAGGGAUACCCGCUGAACUUAAGCAUAUCAAUAAGCGGAGGU
rnacentral:misc_RNA from 1 species